rnacentral:rRNA from 1 species
UACAGAGGUGGCAAGCGUUGUUCGGAAUUACUGGGCGUAAAGGGCUCGUAGGUGGCCAACUAAGUCAUACGUGAAAUCCCUCAGCUUAACUGGGGAACUGCGUCUGAUACUGGAUGGCUUGAGUUUGGGAGAGGGAUGCGGAAUUCCAGGUGUAGCGGUGAAAUGCGUAGAUAUCUGGAGGAACACCGGUGGCGAAGGCGGCAUCCUGGACCAAUACUGACACUGAGGAGCGAAAGCCAGGGGAGCAAACGGG